UACGUAGGGUGCAAGCGUUAAUCGGAAUUACUGGGCGUAAAGCGUGCGCAGGCGGCUUUGCAAGACAGAUGUGAAAUCCCCGGGCUUAACCUGGGAACUGCAUUUGUGACUGCAUGGCUGGAGUGCGGCAGAGGGGGAUGGAAUUCCGCGUGUAGCAGUGAAAUGCGUAGAUAUGCGGAGGAACACCGAUGGCGAAGGCAAUCCCCUGGGCCAUUACUGACACUGAGAGACGAAAGCUAGGGGAGCAAAUGGG
rnacentral:rRNA from 1 species